rnacentral:rRNA from 1 species
GGAUAACAGUUAGAAAUGACUGCUAAUACCGCAUAAGACCACAGCACCGCAUGGUGCAGGGGUAAAAACUCCGGUGGUAUGAGAUGGACCCGCGUCUGAUUAGGUAGUUGGUGGGGUAACGGCCUACCAAGCCGACGAUCAGUAGCCGACCUGAGAGGGUGACCGGCCACAUUGGGACUGAGACACGGCCCAAACUCCUACGGGAGGCAGCAGUGGGGAAUAUUGCACAAUGGGGGAAACCCUGAUGCAGCGACGCCGCGUGAGCGAUGAAGUAUUUCGGUAUGUAAAGCUCUAUCAGCAGGGAAGAAAAUGACGGUACCUGACUAAGAAGCACCGGCUAAAUACGUGCCAGCAGCCGCGGUAAUACGUAUGGUGCAAGCGUUAUCCGGAUUUACUGGGUGUAAAGGGAGCGUAGACGGAGUGGCAAGUCUGAUGUGAAAACCCGGGGCUCAACCCCGGGACUGCAUUGGAAACUGUCAAUCUAGAGUACCGGAGAGGUAAGCGGAAUUCCUAGUGUAGCGGUGAAAUGCGUAGAUAUUAGGAGGAACACCAGUGGCGAAGGCGGCUUACUGGACGGUAACUGACGUUGAGGCUCGAAAGCGUGGGGAGCAAACAGGAUUAGAUACCCUGGUAGUCCACGCCGUAAACGAUGACUACUAGGUGUCGGGCAGCAAAGCUGUUCGGUGCCGCAG